rnacentral:tRNA from 1 species
CAGAGAAUAGUUAAAUUCAGAAUCCUA